rnacentral:rRNA from 1 species
GAUGAACGCUGGCGGCAUGCCUAAUACAUGCAAGUCGAACGAGAGGAAGGAAAGCUUGCUUUCCUGAAUCUAGUGGCGAACGGGUGAGUAACACGUAGGUAACCUGCCCAUGUGCCCGGGAUAACUUCUGGAAACGGAUGCUAAAACCGGAUAGGUAGCAGACAAGCAUUUGACUGCUAUUAAAGUGGCCUUGGCCAUGAACAUGGAUGGACCUGCGGUGCAUUAGCUAGUUGGUGAGGUAACGGCCCACCAAGGCGACGAUGCAUAGCCGGCCUGGGAGAGCGGACGGCAACAUUGGGAAUGAGCAACGGCCCAAACGCCUAGGGGAGGCAGCAGUAGGGAAGUUUCGUCAAUGGGGGGAACCCUGAACGAGCAAUGCCGCGUGAGUGAGGAAGGUCUUCGGAUCGUAAAGCUCUGUUGUAAGAGAAAAACGGCACUCAUAGGGAAUGAUGAGUGAGUGAUGGUAUCUUACCAGAAAGUCACGGCUAACUACGUGCCAGCCGCCGCCGUAAUAC